UAGGGUAAAGUUAUGUGGCUAUUGGACUUACACGAGAAUGAGAAACUCGUUUCCUCAGACUUCUCUCCUUUCUCCUCUCUGCGAACGGCGGUGCUUCCUCUUUGUCUCUCUUACGAUCGAAGACGGCGGCGGCGCGUAUGCUCCUCUCUCCAUCGUUAUCAAUCUCAACCUCUUUUCUUUCUCAGGCGAACAUAAGGGUGGCGGCCGGAAUCACGAGUUAUCACCUCCGAUCGGAGCUCCUUCGACACCGUGAUCGAGGAACUGAAUCUAAGUUACCACAUUUCUCUGCUUCCCAUCUCAAGUUCUUUUCUCUCUCGAUGCGUGUUGCUGUGACCUUAAGUGAGGAUUGAAGGUUGGAGUUUUGCCGUUUUUGGUUAUGCUCCAAGGUUCUUUUCUAAUUCUCUCUUUUCUGUUAUCGAUUUUCAUCCAUUUCUGAUGAUUUUCCUCUGCUCUUUCUUUUGACUUCUGCUACGUUUUUAUUGUGUAUGUUGAAUGUAAUUGUGGUUUGAGGAUGAAGGAUCUAUGGCGGUGUUUGAAGGUUUCUUGAAGAUUGAACUUUCAGAUUUUUUUUGUGAGUGAAGAUUUGAGAAUAUGAGUCUGAGAGAUGUAGAAGAAUGUGAAUUCUGAGGUUUAGCUCUGUUGAUUAGAAUUUCAGAGGUUGAAACUCUAACAACAAUGGAAGGUGAGCUCUAGUGAGAGGGUGAGGGAAUUGCAGAGUGAGGGAGAUGGAUAUGGAGAGAAUUGAGGGAGAAGAGAGGAUUCAGGGAGGGAAGGAUGAAGGAGGUGGUUAUGGUGGUGGUGAAUGAGUGUGUGAUUGAUGAAGAUGAUGAAAGGUUGAAUGGUGCGUGAAGAAGUGAAGGAAAACAAAGUCCAGACCUGAGGAAGUGAAGCCAAGUUCUGAUUUAUAGAACCAAUUCUCAGGUUUUGUGGCAGCAGGGUUACAUUGUAUGAAAGUAUGCACAUGCUCAUGAAUGUGUGGGAUUGUCAUGGAUUUAAGCUUGAACUUGGCUGGAUGGUGGAAGGGUGUUCAAAGAAUCAUGAAGACAAGGUUUUGGUCAAUGCAAAAACGGAAGAGUGACUUAGUGACUUCAAGUCUUGGUAGAUUCAGGAAUCAUGGUCAAAGUCCUGAAAUUUUUAUGUAGUUUUGUGAAUCCUUUUUGUAUUUUGGUAUUUGAGACAUUUGGAUUUGUAAUGGGAUUUCGGAUUGAAAUGGUAUGGACCUAGUUUUUGAUGUACUUUUGUGUAUCUUGGAGUUUAAUUGAAUAAAACUCUUGUAACUUUGUUUUUAUUUUUUGUAGAGGAUAUUAGAAUGUAUUCUUGAAUGGAUUGUUGGGAUGUAAUGAAUAAUAGACAUGGUUCAUGAAAUUGUAAUGAAACGGUUUGGCAAUGAAAUGGUUCUUCUUUUUGUAACAA